rnacentral:rRNA from 1 species
UACGUAGGGUGCAAGCGUUGUCCGGAAUUACUGGGCGUAAAGAGCUCGUAGGUGGUUUGUCGCGUUGUUCGUGAAAACUCACAGCUCAACUGUGGGCGUGCGGGCGAUACGGGCAGACUAGAGUACUGCAGGGGAGACUGGAAUUCCUGGUGUAGCGGUGGAAUGCGCAGAUAUCAGGAGGAACACCGGUGGCGAAGGCGGCUCUCUGGUCCACAACUGACGCUGAGGUGCGAAAGCUAGGGGAGCAAACGGG